rnacentral:rRNA from 12 species
UAUGAUGGCCACGCCAUCCUGAGAGUGUCCAAUCCAGUCAGAUCUCUGAAGCUAAGAAGGGUUGGACCUGCGAACCCAGGACCUUCUCGCUGUGAGGC